GAUGAACGCUGGCGGCGUGCCUAAUACAUGCAAGUCGAGCGAACAGACGAGGAGCUUGCUCCUCUGACGUUAGCGGCGGACGGGUGAGUAACACGUGGAUAACCUACCUAUAAGACUGGGAUAACUUCGGGAAACCGGAGCUAAUACCGGAUAAUAUCUUGAACCGCAUGGUUCAAUAGUGAAAGACGGUUUUGCUGUCACUUCUCGAUGGAUCCGCGCCGCAUUAGCUAGUUGGUACGGUAACGGCUUACCAAGGCAACUAUGCGUAGCCGACCUGAGAGGGUGAUCGGCCACACUGGAACUUAGACACGGUCCAUACUCCUACGAGAGGCAGCAGUAGGGAAUCGUCCGCAAUGGGCGAAAGCCUGACGGAGCAACGCCGCGUGAGAGAUGAAGGUCUUCGGAUCGUAAAACUCUGUUAUUAGUGAAGAACAAAUGUGUAAGGAACUAUGCACGGCGUGACGGUACCUAAUAAGAAAGCCACGGCUAACUACGUG
rnacentral:rRNA from 1 species